rnacentral:rRNA from 1 species
UAAGGAAUAUUGGUCAAUGGACGCAAGUCUGAACCAGCCAUGCCGCGUGAAGGAUUAAGGUCCUCUGGAUUGUAAACUUCUUUUUAUCUGGGACGAAAAAAGGCGAUUCUUCGUCACUUGACGGUACCAGAUGAAUAAGCACCGGCUAACUCCGUGCCAGCAGCCGCGGUAAUACGGAGGGUGCAAGCGUUAUCCGGAUUCACUGGGUUUAAAGGGUGCGUAGGCGGGCAGGUAAAGUCAGUGGUGAAAAUCCUGGAGCUUAACUCCAGAACUGCCAUUGAUACUAUCUGUCUUGAAUAUUGUGGAGGUAAGCGGAAUAUGUCAUGUAGCGGUGAAAUGCUUAGAUAUGACAUAGAACACCUAUUGCGAAGGCAGCUUACUACGCAUAUAUUGACGCUGAGGCACGAAAAGCGUGGGGAUCAAACAGGAUUAGAUACCCUGGUAGUCCACGCCCUAAACGAUGGAUACUCGACAUACGCGAUACACUGUGUGUGUCUGAGCGAAAAGCAUUAAGUAUCCCCACCUGGGGAAGUACGACCGCAAGGUUG